GAAACUCAAAUGAAUUGACGGGGCCCGCACAAGGCGGUGGAGCAUGUGGUUUAAUUCGAAGCAACGCGAAGAACCUUACCAGGUCUUGACAUCCCUGACAACCCGAGAGAUCGGGCGUUCCCCUUCGGGGGGACAGGGUGACAGGUGGUGCAUGGUUGUCGUCAGCUCGUGUCGUGAGAUGUUGGGUUAAGUCCCGCAACGAGCGCAACCCUCGACCUUAGUUGCCAGCAUUCAGUUGGGCACUCUAAGGUGACUGCCGGCUAAAAGUCGGAGGAAGUGGGGAUGACGUCAAAUCAUCAUGCCCCUUAUGACCUGGGCUACACACGUGCUACAAUGGGCGGUACAAAGGGUCGCGAACCCGCGAGGGGGAGCCAAUCCCAAAAAGCCGCUCUCAGUUCGGAUUGCAGGCUGCAACUCGCCUGCAUGAAGCCGGAAUCGCUAGUAAUCGCGGAUCAGCAUGCCGCGGUGAAUACGUUCCCGGGCCUU
rnacentral:rRNA from 1 species